GAUAUGUGAACACAACCCCAGUGAGAAAAGUGUAUAAUUUAAAGCAGACCGGAGCUUCCCUGUGUCAGGUAAAGAAUCCAGAUAGGUCCCCAAAGACUUCCUCCUGUCUUCAACAAAUAGAAUAGGGGAUAAUCUGCUAAAUACAGAAUAAAUAAAAUAACAUGGCGUUUAACUGUGUGAGAGUAAGUAACAAAAUGUUAGUUACAAUUAGCCACUCACAAAUUCCCAGAUGUAAAACAGCCUUUAGUAAAAUCUCUCCUCCAAUAUCCACUGUAUUUU